AGCAACUGUUAAACAGUAAGAUGCCAAAGAGCAAAGACAUUUUCUCCAAACAACAUCUACAGUGGCAGAUCGGCAGAGCACACGUUUGAAC